UACGGAGGUUGCAAGCGUUAUCCGGAUUUAUUGGGUUUAAAGGGUGCGUAGGCGGAAUGGUAAGUCAGUGGUGAAAUCCUGUAGCUUAACUACAGAACUGCCAUUGAUACUGUCAUUCUUGAGUGUAGUUGAGGUAGGCGGAAUGUGUAAUGUAGCGGUGAAAUGCUUAGAUAUUACACAGAACUCCAAUUGCGUAGGCAGCUUACUAAACUAUAACUGACGCUGAGGCACGAAAGCGUGGGGAG
rnacentral:rRNA from 1 species